CUUACAUCCAAAUUAGCAAAAGCAGAUGCUAUUUCUCCAAAUAUUGAAGAAGACCCGUUUAAAGGUGUCUGCUGGAAACAUUGUCAUCACUUAGGGUUAACAGCAAGCAAAUGGAAUAAAGUGGAAUCCUUGCAAAAGUAACCACAAAUAAGACAACCAUGGGGGGAGAGGUGGGUUUCAGCUUUCCUGGUUGCCUGCCAUAGAGGUUUGCUCAUAUGUGAUUGAUUGCUCUGGUGAGUAAUACCAGUUGGCAGACAUUAGUAACACUUUGUCUUACUUUUGGUACAGUUGUUAGC
rnacentral:lncRNA from 1 species